rnacentral:rRNA from 1 species
UACGGAGGGUGCAAGCGUUAUCCGGAUUUACUGGGUUUAAAGGGUGCGUAGGCGGGCCUGUAAGUCAGUGGUGAAAUCUUCCCGCUUAACGGGAAAACUGCCAUUGAUACUAUAGGUCUUGAAUUCAGUUGAGGUGGGCGGAAUGUGUCGUGUAGCGGUGAAAUGCUUAGAUAUGACACAGAACACCGAUUGCGAAGGCAGCUCGCUAAACUGACAUUGACGCUGAGGCACGAAAGCGUGGGGAUCAAAAAGG